GGAUAUGACGCUGGGCGAGCGCUGGUCUCCAAAACCAGACGAAGAGGGUUCGAUUCCUUCCAUGUCCGCCA
rnacentral:tRNA from 1 species